CCGCAGCACACGCGUGGGCAUGGUUCUCCACCCCGGGAGACGCCGGGAACGGAGUUUAGUGAUACGGGGGAUACGUGGUGCAGGGCGAUCUGGAGGACUGAGGUCACAUGGUGGUC